rnacentral:lncRNA from 10 species
GGGCCCACCCAGCCAACUACUGGCCCAGACUUGGCCCGCGGAGAGAGCAGACAGGGAACGCCGGGAGCAGGACCGGGCGCGGAGGGCUGGGGCCGGGGACCCGGGGCGGCGGGUCCGAGUGGGAGAAAGGAGCGGCGGAGGGGGCCUAGAGUUACUCGGGCUCCCGGGACUCCCCGAAGGGCAGAAAUAAGUUUCUAAAAAUAGGCAGCGGCCUGCCGGAAGAAGCUGUGGGCGGUGCAGGAGGGAUCCGGAAGAGACGAGGCAGGAAGAAACUCCUGGUCCUUUCGCUUUUAAGGAACGUGCCACCUAGACAAGUGUUCCAGCCUCCGGUGAACCAGUCUUCCUAGUGAGAGCACGAGAAGCCCGUUGUCCUUCAUUCCUCAGCUAUGGAUUUCCCUGAAAGUUGAGAACUGACCAUAUUCUCGAUGCCUCCUCCGACCUGUGAUUUCAUGACUCACAUCGCUUCCCCAGAACCUGCUUAACAGACGGGAUUCCUGAGAAUGGAGCAGAGUUUGAAUUCAGAGUCCUGGCUUUGCCAUACCAGCAGUUAUAAUUGUCCUUCUGUUGUUUGAUGACCUCCCUGCCCUGCUUCAAAAGGAAGAGAAAUCAAAGAGUUGACGACCCUGAGCGCAAGGCCUGGGACGUUCUUCCCCAAACUCGCUUUAAUAUCACCUUCUCAAAAGAACUCUUCCCUGAACACCUUGUCUCAAGAUGUUCUCUAGUUUGUCUUCUU